rnacentral:lncRNA from 1 species
UGACAAGAAAUAAUUGGCUUGUGAGAAUCAACAUUGAAGCUGGAAAAAUGAUGGCAUCCGAACAAGUAGACACAGCCCUAGUCAAGGCAAUAAACUACACUAAAGACAGAGGAGAAAGACUCAAAGUUGUUCUAACAUGUGAGUACCUAGGGGUGCUGCAUGCCGUUGUGUGGUUUGUGUACUGCAUAGUUGUACUCAGCCAAGGAAGUGGAUGAGGCCACAGCUUUAACAUGGGCUGCUGUCUGCCCAGAAGGAUAAUCUUUUCCUUAUUUUAUAUCUCAUUUCAGGGGUUCUCCAACUUCUGAAAUCCAUCCAGAAACUCCCUGUAUUUGGGUAACAGUAUUAUAACUUUUUGCACCAGGGCUUUUUUGUUUGUUUGUUAAUAUUAAUUGAUUUUUCUUAUGUUCUUUAUGAAAGAAUAACUCAUCCAUUAAUGAAACCAAAUGUGAACUUAGUGCCUUCUGUGUAGAAAAGGCUAGGAAUACAUAUUGUGGGAGAUUCAUUACAUCACUGGCCUUAAUACUACACCUUCUCAUGUUCCCCCUUGGCUGUGUAACUUUCUAGUGUCCAUAUGCUCUCUCUUGGGGUGGCCAGUGUGACUUGCUUUGGCCAAUGGGAUAUUAGCAACCAUGACAUAACCCGAGGCUUAUAAAGUUGCCUGCUCAUUGGGACUUGUUUCACUGUUGCAUCCCAGUUAUUCACAUCACUCCAGCUGACAGCCAACCAACAAACAGCCAGACACGUGAGCCCAACCAAGAUCAGAAGAACUGUCCCACUGAGCAUAGUCUAAAUUGCUAACAUGCAAAUGCAUGACCACAGCAAGGUAAUCUUACAGCCCAGGACUCAGCUGCUGCAAUCUCUGUGAAAGGUACUUAUGACUAAUGCUGAUGCCACCAUGAAGCUCAGGAAACAAUUUACAGGGACAUGGGCUGUUCUGAGACCCCACAGCCAUGAAUCGCCUAAUCAUUCUGACAGAUUUCUGCAGAUGCUGUGCUCAGGUCACUGAGUUUCCCAGUUGUCAGUGGUGAACUGGAGCGGAGGCAGAAGGAAACUCUUCAGACACACUGUUCCCUUCAGGAAACAAGGGACAAAAGGGCUGCCCUGAGGAGACUUGGGAAAGUGACAUUUCCUCAGGCUCGAGGACAUCCCGAGGUUCUGCUCAUGAAACAGAGACAACCAUGUGUGGUGCCUGCAUUCUUGGCCUGCGGGGAGUGGAAAGGAGACAAAGAGUAAAACACGGUGGGAAAGAAGAAAAAGAGGUUAAGAAAAGCAAAUGUGCCUACUCCAGGUAAUUUUGACUUAGGGACCCUGAUUAACUUACACACUAAUUAAACCAUUUCCAGAUUUUGUGCAGUCUGAAAGCAGCCCAUUUUCCCCAACACCAGGUCGCUCAAGAUGACCACAGGAAGGUUGUCAUCUUCAUGUCUAAAAGCCAGUUGACACUCAAGGGUGUCAUUUCACUUCAGUGAAAUGAGAAGCUUCACAGAUGUGUAGACUCUGAAAAAUCUAACUGGAAAACAAUACAGGGAAAUAGCAAUACUAGGCAUCAAAGCAGCAAAAAAACUACUCAAUUAUCUGAUAUGGGGAUUAUCAAUGGAAUAAAUGUGGGGUUUGUUGUUUGUUGUUGGGAUUGUUGUGGGUUUUGUUUCAUUUUUUAGGGUCUCACUUUUCUCCACCAAUUAGAUCUGUGCUGUGAGCCACACAGGUUUUGAGUACAUGUUUUGGGACUUUAUAUCGGUCAGACUUUGCCAUGGUAACACUGUGUAACGAGCAGCCCCAAAAAUCUCAGUGGUGGUCAAAAGCAAACCUUUAUUUCUCAUUCAUGGGUUUUCAGUUUGUUCAGGCUAAAAGUAAAAUACACAGAUUCUUCACCUGUCUUUCAUUCCAUGCUGAAGGAGCAAUUGACUGCCUGGGACAUACUUUUCUCAUAACAGAGGCAAGGGUGAAAAACACCAAGUCAUCUUGAUUAUGCAAUCCCAUUUUUAAUGUAAACAAUGUCAUGUCUGCUUCUAUUUCAUUGAGCAAAGCAAGUCAUAUAGGCAAGCCCAACAUCAGUGGGGUGAUAAAGCACACUCUCCAAUGGAAGGAGGAGGGGAGCAUGAUCAUUUGCUGAACAGUAAUGCAAGAUAGCACAAGACUUGUCUGGGGUGAGAGAGAGAUCAAAGCUGUGGAUCCCACCCAGUCUUCAACCAAAGCAAUGUGGCUUUGACCUGU